GGCAGUGAUGGCUCAGUGGUUAAAGGCUUUGGGUUACUGAUCUGAAGGUCAUGAGUUCAAGCCCCAGCACGGACA